rnacentral:rRNA from 1 species
CGAAACGCACUCGACCUUCGGGUCACAUGAGUGAGUGGCGAACGGGUGAGUAACACGUGAGGAACCUGCCCCGAAGACUGGAAUAACCCGGGGAAACUCGGGCUAAUACCGGAUAUCCCCACCAGGUCGCAUGGCCAGGUGAGGAAAUGCUCCGGCGCUUCGGGAGGGUCUCGCGGCCUAUCAGCUAGUUGGUGAGGCAACGGCUCACCAAGGCAUCGACGGGUAGCUGGUCUGAGAGGACGAUCAGCCACACCGGGACUGAGACACGGCCCAGACUCCUACGGGAGGCAGCAGUGGGGAAUCUUGCGCAAUGGGCGAAAGCCUGACGCAGCCACGCCGCGUGAGGGAUGAAGGCUUUCGGGUUGUAAACCUCUUUCAGCAGGGACGAAAAUGACGGUACCUGCGGAAGAAGCUCCGGCCAACUACGUGCCAGCAGCCGCGGUAACACGUAGGGAGCACGCGUUGUCCGGAUUUAUUGGGCGUAAAGAGCUCGUAGGCGGUUCAGUCAGUCGGGUGUGAAAACUUGAGGCUCAACCUCAAGAGGCCACUCGAUACUGCUGUGACUAGAGUCCGGUAGAGGAGUGUGGAAUUCCUGGUGUAGCGGUGAAAUGCGCAGAUAUCAGGAGGAACACCGACAGCGAAGGCAGCACUCUGGGCCGGUACUGACGCUGAGGAGCGAAAAGCAUGGGGAGCAAACAGGAUUAGAUACCCUGGUAGUCCAUGCCGUAAACG